GAUCCUUGAUGAUACAUUUGAAGGCUUGUUUCUCAAAACAUUCGCAGUGACCGCCUAAAUCUUUCGCCUUCGCCAGGCUUGAGAGAUAAUGCUGCUUUUAUCCUUCCUUGGAUGUCGCCUUCGCCAGGCUUGAGAGAUAAUGCUGCUUUUAUCCUUCCUUGGAUGUCUGAGAUC
rfam:Nicotiana attenuata strain TT chromosome 6, whole genome shotgun sequence.